ACGAGGAACAGAGCAUGCGCACACCUCAUUGUUUUGUGCUGUUCCGUAGCAAGAGAGUACAUGUGGAAUUCUGUUCGGACAGGACAGAACAACGACUUUCAUUCUGCGAAAAUGGCUAAAAUAUCGUUGCUGAGAGUGCUUCUCAAUGAACGAUUAACAGCAGUUGCUGAUGAGAUAUUUGGGGCUGUUGAAAAAACGGUGGCAGAGUACCAGGAAGAAAUCUAUCGUUCUAAGGAGGAGAACGAGAAGCUACGGAGGCUGCUUGAUAUCGUUCUUAAACCAGAUAUAAAGUUGCAUAGAUCGGACCUACAGCAGCUCACUGUCUCUGAAAAGGUUCCCCCUGAACAGCAGCACUGUGAACAGGAGUUGAACUCCAGUCUGAGGCAGGAGGACCCAGAGCCCACACAGAUUAAUGAGCAGGAGCUCAGGACCAGCCAUGGGAGAGAGCAGCUUCAUGCUCUGGAGUCAAAAGACCCUAAUGUUAUAUUCACAAUUGCUUGUGUCAAAAGCUUGUGCCAGAAUCAGGUCUCAACUGAGCCUUCACAUCUUUACCAAACCCAAAGUGAGGAAUAUGAACAGGGACCCUCUCUACCAAGCACUUCAAUAGAACAGAUCAAAACAGAACCUGAUGGAGAGGGCUACAUGUCAUUAGAACCAACCAGUGAACCUCAGCCCCUCUCUGCAUUUAAUCACUAUUCUGCUGUUCAGCGUGAAAACAGAGUAAUCCUCAGUGUAGAUCGUGUGGCGAGUGGAGAGCUUCCAUCAGGGUCAAAGCCACCGGAAUCAAAGAGAGCACGGGAUCGAGGCCCCGCUGCUGCCACAGGCCAGGCCACAGCAAGCCAGUCCCUGGACCCCACUCUUUCCUCACCACCUUUCCACCGCCCAGCUGUGCCCCAGUCCAUUGCAUGGCGCCAAAAGAGGAAGGGGGAGGAAUAUGCACACGCCCAGCAGCAGGGCACUCUUUACCCAAAACGCUCAAAUGUAUACCGCUCGAAGGUACAUCCUGACAUUUCCAUUCCUCAUCUGACACCAGAAUAUGACGAACUGCUCACCAACCGCAGCGGGGGCCGUCCGGACCGCUAUGCUGUUUUGCUAUUCCGUGCAUGCGUAAGCGAAGAGAGAUACCGCGAGUGGGAACAGAAUACCAACUGGGAUGGAUCACGAGGAAAAUUUGGCUUGCCAGUGAACCUCCGAAUGUUCAUCAGGACCACUGUGUCUCAGAAGUUUCCUUCCAUGAGUGAUGUAACCCGAAAAAACAUCAAAGACAGAGUAAAUGAGUACUUGAGGUCACCGAGGAAGUCUGGACAUGGACUGCUCUCGCUUAUCUAAGGAAUUAGGCAUAUUGCAGACCGAUCUCAUAAUCACUUCCUUUCCUAGCUGAGCCUGUUAUAGUUUGUGACCCUGUGUUACCCAGCACAGUGAGGGGCAAGAAGCAGUGGACUGGGCCAGGCAGGACUGGUUCUGAGCCAGGCAGGUGGUUGGUCCUGGCAGCAGGAAAGAAAAAAGACAACAUGAAGAUACAUCCAAUGUAGUGUAUAGUGCAACGACAUACGGUGCCUUCGGAAAGUAUUCAGACCCCUUGACUUUUUCCACGUUUUGUUACAUUACAGCCUUAUU